CUACGUACGGAUACGUACAUAUUUUUUGAACAAUCAAAAUAUGUGUAUUCGUGCGUAGCAU
rnacentral:pre_miRNA from 1 species